rnacentral:rRNA from 2 species
UGACCUCUGACCUCAAAUCAGGUAGGACUACCCGCUGAACUUAAGCAUAUCAAUAAGCGGAGGAA